GAGAACAGGCAGAACCUGUUAUGUAAAUGAGCAGAGCAAAUGAAAGUAACUUUUGACGACCUGAUGAUCAUCCAGACUGUGUUUCUAUUGAGAGAUAAAAGGCUGGUUGAAUGAGUUGCCUAUGAAAGCUACUUCAUCUGUAAGAAAACAGGCGUCUGCACCAGUGACUGGGUCAGUGCUCUAAAAUGAGUCUCUCUGGGGAGAGAGAGGAGGGGGGCCCUGCCUCUAAAAUGAGUCUCUCUGGGGAGAGAAAGGAGGGGGGCCCUGCCUCUAAAAUGAGUGUCUCUGGGGAGAGAGAGGAGGGGGGCCCUGCCUCUAAAAUGAGUCUCUCUGGGGAGAGAAAGAAGGGGGGCCCUGCCUCUAAAAUGAGUCUCUCUGGGGAGAGAAAGGAGGGGGGCCCUGCCUCUAAAAUGAGUCUCUCUGGGGAACAUGACACCAAAUCUAAGAGGUGAGAUGACAAUUUUUGAUACAUUAUUAUGAGUUUAUUUCCAAAAUGUUCACAUUUGUUUUUUAAUCAGAAAUGGUUGCUUCAAUAUUACUGUUCUCAGAUUUUUAACUAAUAGA